rnacentral:rRNA from 1 species
UACGAAGGGGCUAGCGUUGUUCGGAUUUACUGGGCGUAAAGCGCACGUAGGCGGAUUGGUCAGUUACGGGGUGAAAUCCAGAGCUCAACUCUGGAACUGCCUUUAAUACUGCCAGUCUAGAGUCCGGAAGAAGGUAAGUGGAACUCCUAGUGUAGAGGUGGAAUUCGUAGAUAUUCGCAAGAACACCAGUGGCGAAGGCGGCUCACUGGUCCGGUACUGGACGCUGAGGUGCGAAAGACCGUGGGGAGCAAACAGG